rnacentral:rRNA from 1 species
UGCCAGCAGCCGCGGUAAUACGGAGGGUGCGAGCGUUAAUCGGAAUUACUGGGCGUAAAGCGCACGCAGGCGGUUUGUUAAGCUAGAUGUGAAAGCCCCGGGCUCAACCUGGGAUGGUCAUUUAGAACUGGCAGACUAGAGUCUUGGAGAGGGGAGUGGAAUUCCAGGUGUAGCGGUGAAAUGCGUAGAUAUCUGGAGGAACAUCAGUGGCGAAGGCGACUCCCUGGCCAAAGACUGACGCUCAUGUGCGAAAGUGUGGGUAGCGAACAGGAUUAGAAACCCCCGUAGUCC